CAACCCUCAAGCCCUGCUUGGUGUUGGGGUCCUACGGCUGCCGUAGGCCCUGAAAGCUAGUGGCGGGCUCGCUACAACUCCGAGCGCAGUAAUAUAUCUCGCUAGGGAAGUGUUGCGGGUUCCGGCCGUUAAACCCCCCAAUUUUACAA
rnacentral:misc_RNA from 1 species